rnacentral:tRNA from 1 species
AAUUAUAUAGUAUAAUUAUUACAUUCGACUUCCAAUCGAAAAAUUUAUUUUAAUUAAUAUAAUUU